rnacentral:rRNA from 1 species
CCGUGCCCCGAUGACUGGGACAACCCGAGGAAACUCGGGCUAAUACCAGAUGUGAUGUCCACACAUGAGUGUGUCCAUCAAAGGAAGCUUCGGCCUCCACAUUGGGAUGGGCCCGCGGCCCAUUAGCUUGUUGGUGGGGUAAUGGCCUACCAAGGCAACGAUGGGUAGCUGGUCUGAGAGGACGAUCAGCCACACUGGGACUGAGACACGGCCCAG